UUCCUUCCUCUGCAGUUUUUGGAAGAGUUUGAGAAGGAUGGGUGUUAGCUCUUCUCUAAAUGUUUGAUAGAAUUCACCUGUGAAGCCAUCUGGUCCUGGACUUUUGUUUGUUGGAAGAUUUUAAAUCACAGUUUCAUUAUGUGUGAUUAGUCUGUUCAUAUUUUCUGUUUCUUCCUGGUUCAGUCUUGGAAGGUUAAACCUUUCUAAGAAUUUGUCCAUUUCUUCCAGGUUGUCCAUUUUAUUGGCAUAGAGUUGCUUGUAGUAGUCUCUUAGGAUGCUUUGUAUUUCUGCGGUGUCCAUUGUUACUCCUCCUUUUUCUUUUCUAAUUUUAUUCAUUUGAGUCCUCUCCCUCUUUUUCUUGAUGUGUCUGGCUAAAGGUUUAUCAAUUUUGUUUAUCUUCUCAAAGAACCAGCUUUUAGUUUUAUUGAUCUUUGCUAUUGUUUUGUUUUUAUUUCAUUUAUUUCUGCUCUGAUCUUUAUGAUUUCUUUCCUUCUACUAACUUUGGGUUUUGUUUGUUCUUCUUUCUCUAGUUCCUUUAGGUGUAAGGUUAGAUUGUUUAUUUGAGAUUUUUCUUGUUUCUUGAGGUAGGAUUGUAUUGCUAUAAACUUUCCUCAUAGAAAUGCUUUUGCUGCAUCCCAUAGGUUUUGGAUUGUCAUGUUUCAUUGCCAUUUGUCUCUAGGUAUUUUUUAAUUUCCUCUUUGAUUUCUUCAGUGAUCUCUUGGUUAUUUAGUAACGUAUAGUUUAGCCUCCAUGUGUUUGUGUUUUUUACGUUUUUUCCCCUGUAAUUGAUUUCUAAUCUCAUAGCAUUGUGGUAGGAAAAGAUGCUUGAUUCGUUCAAUUUUUUUAAAUUUACUGAGGCUUGAUUUGUGAUCCAAGAUGUGAUCUAUCCUGGAGAAUGUUCCAUGUGCCCUUGAGAAGAAAGUGUAAUCUGCUGUUUUCAGAUGCAGUGUCCUGUAAAUAUCAAUUAAAUCUAUUUGGUCUAUUGUGACAUUUAAAACAUGUGUUUUCUUAUUAAUUUUCUGUCUGGAUGAUCUGUCUGUUGAUGUAAGUGAGGUGUUAAAGUCCCCCACUAUUAUUGUGUUACUGGCAAUUUCCUCUUUUAGAGCUGUUAGCAUUUGCCUUAUGGAUUGAGGUACUCCUAUGUUGGGUGCAUAUGUAUAUAUAAUUGUUAUAUCUUCUUCUUGGAUUGAUCCCUUGAUCAUUAUGUAGUGUCCUUCCUUGUCUCUUGUAACAUUAUUUUAAAGUCUGUUUUAUCUCUUAAGAGUAUUGCUACUCCAGCUUUCUUUUGAUUUCCAUUUGCAUUGAAUAUCUUUCUCCCUCCCCUACAGUUUCAGUCUGUAUCUGUCUCUAGGUCUGAAGUGGGUCUCUUGUAAACAGCAUAUAUAUGGGUAUUGUUUCUGUUUCUUUUUUUUUAUUUGCAGUACGCAGGCCUCUCACUGUUGUGGCCUCUCCCGUUGCAGAGUACAGGCUCCGGACACGCAGGCUCAGCAGCCGUGGCUCACAGGCCUAGCUGCUCCGCGGCAUGUGGGAUCUUCCUGGACUGGGGCACGAACCCAUGUCCCCUGCAUCAGCAGGCGGACUGUCAACCACUGCGCCACCAGGGAAGCCCUGGGUCUUGUUUUUGUAUCCAUUCAGUGAGCCUGUGUCUUUUGGUUGGAGCAUUUAAUCCAUUCACAUAUAAGGUACUUAUCGAUAUGUAUAUUCCUGUUACCAUUUUCUUAAUUGUUUUGUGUUCAUUUUUGUAGAUCCUUUUCUUCUCUUGUGUUUCCCACUUAGAGAAGUUCCUUUAGCAUUUGUUGUAGAGCUGGUUUGGUGGUGGUGAAUUCUCUUAGCUUUUGCUUGUCUGUAAAGCUUUUGAUUUCUCUGUCACAUCUGAAUGAGAUCCUUGCUGGGUAGAGUAAUCUUGGUUUUCGGUUCUUCCCUUUCAUCACUUUAAAUAUAUCAUGCCACUCCCUUCUUGCUUGUAGAGUUCCUGCUGAGAAAUCAGCUGUUAACCUUAUGGGAGUUUCCUUGUAUGUUACUUGUCGUUUUCCCUUAUUGUUUUUAAUAAUUUUUCUUUGUCUUUAAUUUUUGUCAGUUUGAUUACUGUGUGUCUCAGCAUGUUUCUCCUUGGGUUUAUCCUGCCUGGGACUCUGUAAUUCCUGGACUUGGUGGCUAUUUCCUUCCCCCAGUUAGGGAAGUUUUCGACUAUAAUCUGUUCAUAUAUUUUCUCAGGUCCUUUCUCUCUCUUCUCCUUCUGGGACCCUUAUAAUGUAAAUGUUGGUGCUUUUAACGUUAUCCCAGAGGUCUCAUAGGCUGUCUUCAUUUAUUUUCAUUCUUUUUUCUUUAUUCUGUUCUGUGGCAGUGAAUUCCACUAUUCUGUCUUUCAGGUCACUUAUCCGUUCUUCUGCUAUUGGUUCUUUCUAGUGUAUUUUUCAUUUCAGUUAUUGUAUUGUUCAUCUCUGUUUGUUUGUUCUUUAAUUAUUCUAGGUGUUUGUUCUUUAAUUCUUCUAGGGCUUUGUUAACAUUUCUUGCAUCUUCUCGAUCUUUGCCUCUAUUAUAUUUUCCGAGGUCUUGGAUCAUCUCACUAUCAUUAUUCUGAAUUGUUUUUCUGGAAGGUUGCCUAUCUCCACUUCAUUUAGUUGUUUUUCUGGGGUUUUAUCUUGUUCCUACAUCUGGUACAUAGUCCUUUGCCUUUUCAUUUUGUCUUUCUGUGAAUGUGGUUUUUGUUCCACAGGCUGCAGGAUUGUAGUUCUUCUUACUUCUGCUGUCUGCCAUCUGGUGGAUGAGGCUAUCUAAGAUGCUCUGCAAGCUUCCUGUUGGGAGGGACUGGUGGUGGGUAGAGCUGGGUGUUGCUCUGGUGGGCAGAGCUCAGUAAAACUUUAAUCAGCUUGUCUGAUGAGAGGUGGAGCUGAGUUCCCUCCCUGUUGGUUGUUUGGCCUGAGGCUACCCAGCACUGGAACCUACAGGCCUUUUGGUGGGGCUAAUGGCUGACUCUGGGAGCGCUUAUACCAAGGAGUACUUCCCAGAAUUUCUGCUGCCAGUAUCCUUGUCCCCAUGGUGAGCACAGCCAUCCCCCGCCUCUGCAGGAGACCCUCCAACCCUAGCAGGUAGGUCUGGUUCAGUCUCCUAUGGGGUCAUUGCUCCUUCCCCCUGGGUCCUGUUGCACACACUUACCUUGUGUGUGCCCUCCAAGAGUGGAGUCUCUGUUUCCCCCAGACUUGUCAAAGUCCUGCAAUCAAAUCCUGCUAGCCUUCAAAAUCUGAUUCUCUUGGAAUUCCUCCUCCUAUCGCCAGACCCCCAGGUUGGGAAGCCUGACAUGGGGCUCAGAACCUUUAUUCCAGUGGGUGGACUUCUGUGGUAUAAGUGUUCUCCAGUUUGUGAGUCACCCACCCGGUGGUUAUGGGAUUUGAUUUUAUUGUGAUUGCGCCUCUCCUACCGUCUUAUUGCGGCUUCUCCUUUGUCUUUGGAUGUGGGGUAUUUUUUUGGUGAGUUUCAGUGUCUUCCUGUCGAUGAUUGUUCAGCAGUUAGUUGUGAUUCCAGUGCUCUCACAAGAGGGAGUGAGCACACCUCCUUCUACUCCGCCAUCUGUUUUUUACUCUUGAGGCAAGAAAUGCUCAUUAAGAAUUUUAAGUGCUGACUAUUCAAAGCAUUUUUAUUAUGGAAAAUUUCAAACAUACAAAAAGAAGAGAAAAUAAAAAGAACUCCCAUGUACGUAUGAACCACUACCUCACUUCAACAGUUACCAAGUCAGGGCGGUCUGUACUCCCAUUCUUUUUUAUAUGCUUUAUUUACUUUAUAAUAUAUGUUGCCCAAAAGUUCAUGUAAGUCUGCUUUUGAAGAUGUAAUAUAUAAACAUGUUCUUAAAAAUAUUUUGUUGUUAUGUAGAUUAUAUCCACACCUAGGUUAAAAAAUAGAACAUUACUGGUAUCUUAAAACCUCUAUUUGACACUAUUUUCAUCUAAUCCCAACUCCUUGCUCUACCACUGGAGGUUCCCGCUAUCCUGAAUUUUGUGUUAAUCAUUCCCGUGAUUUAAUUUUUUACUUUUGAUAUUUCUAUAAAUGGAAUCAUACUAUAUGCAUUCUGCUGUGUUUUUCUUCUUUCACACAAUAUUACGUUUAAAAUUUUCAUUCAUUUUGUUGCACCUAGCAGUGGUUAAUUACAUAGUAUUCUUUUAUAUGCAAAUACAACACUUUAUUUCUCUGUUCUGUUGUCAGUGGGCAUUUUGGCUGUGUACGGAAUUUUGCUGUUAAAAAAAUGCUGCUUAUGAACAGUUCUGUACGUAUGUUCUGAUAUAAAUGUGUAAGAAUUUUUCCAGGGUAUAUACUUAGGAGUGUAAUUGCUGGGUUGUCAGGUAUGUGUCUUUCACUAGGUAAUUCCAAAUUGCUUUCCUAAAUGUUUGUGCCAGUUUACACACUUACACUUAUCUACCACUUUGCAGAUAUUUGGAAUUAUUGGACAUUUUUUUUUCCAUUUGGGCUUUAGUUAGUAUUUUCCAGAUUACCAAUGAACUGAGUACAUAUUUAUAUUUAUUGGCCAUUUUCUUCUUCCAUUUUUUUUUUUUGAAAUGACUCUUCCUAGUGGCUUUGCCUAUUUUUCUGUUGGGUUGUUUGCCUAUUCUUAUGAUUUAUGGGAGUCCUAUUUGUAUUAUAGAUAUUAAUGCCUACUUGGUUAUAAGGGUUACAAAUAUCUCCUAGCUUGUUGUUUGUCUUUUCACUCCCUUUAUGGUGUAUUCUAAUGUACAGAAGUUCUCAAUUUUUAUAUAGUCAGUGAUGAUCAAUCUUUUCCUUCAUGAUUUGAGAUUUUUGUGCCUAGUUUAUACAGGACAUCCUUCCCAAUCCUUAUGUAUAAGUCAGGCUUCAGUCUUACAGUCCUCUCAUUCAUGGGACUCCAAAAUAAGGCCUUACUUUUUUUUCCAUGGGAAGUGACUCCUAAAGCCUUGUGGCUAGUUUACUUUCUGUAUUUUAAUCAGUCCAGUGCACACAGGCUUGUGAACCAGUAUGGUUAUGGUAGGUCUCAGUGUCAUAGAGCGGGUAACUGGAAACUAUACCCAUUGUAUGAUGUUAAAAUAUUUCCAUGUAUUUAUUUUAGUGUUCCCCUUGUAAGUUCUUGCCUACUUUACCAACUGAGUGGAGACCUUAAAUGAGAUGUUAAAGGUAAUACCACAAAGAACACUUUAUGAAAUUCCUAAGCACAUUCAGUUUACUUUUUGUUGAAAUUUGUGGAGAAAGACAAUGGGAAACUGACAGCAGAUAUGUUGAGAAAGGUAUAAUUUUCAACUGCAUAGCACUCCUAUAUAAAACUUAAGGAAAAGAAAAAAAGUCAAGUUCUUCAAGAACUGGUUAGCUUGAAGAAUUGUUCUACAAAAAACUAAACUCUGUCUACCUGGCUUCUGUGUUCUAUACAGAGUUUUUUGGAGAUAAUUUAUGAUGACUCUAUUAUAUUGGUCUAUUCCAUGUAUGGCUAUCCUACUUUGCAUCAAAAUCAAGUUCUCUUAAUUACUAUAGUUUAUAUAAAAUUUUGAUAUGUGAUAAUGCAAAUCCCCCAUUUUAUUCUUUAUCUUCAUAAAUUGAAGUUGGACCUUUGCCCUUCAAUGUCAGUUUUAGGAUCAACUUUUAAAAUUCCAUCAAAAACAAGAAGAAUUUUGAUUGUGUUUACAUUGAAUCUCUGGAUCAUUUUGGGAAGAAUCACUACGUUUACAAAAUUGAGUCUUUAUAUUCAUGAAUGUGUCAUGCUUCCACAUAUCUCUUUAAUGUCCUUCAGUAAGGUUUUUCUCCAUAGAGGUUUUGAACAUCUUUGGUUGAUUUUGUUUCUAUUUUUUCACUCUAUUUUUAGCCAUUAUAAAUAACAAUUAAAAAUUUAAGUUGUUGAUAUAAAAAAUGUUCAUGACUUUUGUAUGAAAUCUAUCCAGUAAUCUUUUGAAUGUUUUUAUUCUAAUGAUCUUUCUAAGGAUCCUUUUGGGUUUCCUAUAGAUAAAAUAAUAUAAUGCCUAGAUAAUGGCAAUUUUGUUUCUUUUAAACUUUCGUUUCUUUUACUUGUCACAUUGUGGUAACUAGCACCUCUACGUUAAUGUUAAAUAAAAAUGGAAGAUCCUUUUCUUGUAGAUUAAUUAGAUGGGAAUUGACAGUUUAAAAAUAUUGAGUUUCUGCUCUUAAAACAUGGUAAAUAUCUCCAUUCAUUUAGAUUUUCUUUUGAGUACUUCUUGAAAGUUUUAUAUUGUGUUGCAUAUAAACUGAUUUUUUUCCCCCUUGUUACAAGUUGUAUUUUCCUGCUUCUUUGCAUACCUGGUAACUUUUUUUUUUUUUUUUUUCGGUACGCGGGCCUCUCACUGUUGUGGCCUCUCCCGUUGCGGAGCACAGGCUCCGGACGCGCAGGCUCAGCGGCCAUGGCUCACGGGCGCAGCCGCUCCGCGGCAUGUGGGAUUUUCCCGGACCAGGGCACGAACCCGUGUCCCCUGCAUCGGCAGGCAGACUCUCAACCACUGCGCCACCAGGGAAGCCCCAUACUUGGUAUUGUGGAUCUUUGUCCUCAGCUUGCCAUUUGCUUUUGACUUCAUUUUUUCCAGAAGUAAGUUAAACUUUUUUAAAUGUAUUGUCAUAUAUUCUUUUUUAUUAUGGCUUGAUUUGUAUGCUUAUUUUGGUCUAACUGGAAGUUAUCUUGAGGCAAGAAUUGAGAGAGUUAAGGAUUUGGCUUUAUUAUUUGUAUGUUCAUUUAUUUACCUAUUCAUACAAAUGGCUAGCCAGUUGGUCCAACAGAAUUUUAUGAAUUCGCUGAUUAGAAAUGCCAUACUUAUCAUACUAAAUUCCAAUUUGAAAUUUUGUCCAGAAAUGUUACACUAACUUUUGUUAUUAUGGUAAAUUACAGUAUUGCUUGUUACAUGGAUUUUCAGUUUUCAAAUCAUUAAAAUGCAGUAGGAUGUAAUUAAUAGUGAAAUAGCAUCAGGCAUAACUUAAUUACUCAGAAUGAAGCAGAAGGUAUUCUAGGAUAUUAUAAUGCUUCAGGUUAUUUUUAUGAAAAUCAGUUAUAAUUAGAAUGAAGAAUUUUAGUGCCAAUUGAUUAUAUCUAUUGCUAGAAUGCUAGAUACAUCAUAAUUAUUAAUAUUUAUAAAGUUCUAAAACAUAGCUUAUUUGAUUUGCUCGCAUUCUAUUUAAACACUAAAGGUAUAAAGUAUUCAUUUUAUCCUCACCUGCCUACUUGAUGAGAUCGUAUUGGAGGAAAAAAUAUUGAUUCUAAUUUGAAAAACAAUGUUUCUCCCUCCUGAGUCCUAACUUCCUCCAUUAGUGAGAGAGAGUAAAAGGCUACACCUUAAAAAACAAUCAUACCCUUUGUAUUUACUAAGUAUUUUGAAAACUUUACCAAAUUACAAAUAUUACCUAAUAUCUUAGGUGAUGGAUUGUUAAUUUAUACUGAGUAUUAGAUCAAUGUCCCAAGUUUGGUGUGUUAGAUAUUAUUCAAUAUGUUUGUGCAUUUCACACCCAAAUAUUUAAUAUGUGAACUUUCAGUGAUUAUUUAGUUGAAACUGGGGAGGGAAGAGCAUACUUAAAUCUCUCUGUGCCCACAUAACAUGUGUAUUUUGUUAAUGUUGAACAUGUAAUUAUUUCAUUUUGGUUUAAUCAUACAUUCAAAAGAAAUACCAUUUAUAGGCACAAAGUUGUUUCUGGGGGAUUAGCUCCUUAUUGUUUUUCAUUGCCUAGGUUUUAAAACUAAACAAAAGUUAUUUUAAAAAUAAUGUAUAAAAGACUAUAAUAUAGCUUAGACCAGAAAAAUGACUAAUUUUAUGGGAUUUUAAUCAGAAAUGUUGGCUUACCGAGUUUAAUACAAUGUACUUUCAUCAGUGUAAUGUUUCACUCCUAUAAAACCAGAGAGCAUUAAAAAUAAAACAGUAAGGAUAUUGCUGUUUUUAGCUUUUUAUUGUAAAUAUUUAGUUUGAAUUCCCAGUUCUCUUUACUUUUUUCUGUUGGAAUAAGCAAGAUAUGUACUUAAGGAUAUCAUUGAGAAUUUGUAUCACAAACAGGGAAACUGAAAGACAAGAAGAAAGUGCAUGAGAAAAAAAAAAGAGAGUCUCAUUAUUGACCAUACAUGGAGUUUCAAAAUGAAAAGACAAAGCUAAUUAAUUAAAUUAAGUCAAUUGAAUUUUUAAAAAUUUCUAGGCUUUUAAAUAGGAAAGAUCUUUCUCCAACUAGCUAGUUGUUUAUUAUGAUAGUUGACUAUUUAUUUACUUAUUUAUGUAUUUAUUUGGCUGCAUUGGGUCUUCAUUGCUGCGUGUGGGCUUUCUCUAGUUGUGGAGAGCAGGGGCUACUCUUCGUUGCGGUGAGCGGGCUUCUCAUUGCGGUGGCUUCUCUUGUUGCGGAGCACGGGCUCUAGGUGUGCGGGCUUCAGUAGUUUCGGUGCACAAGCUCUAGGGCACGCAGGCUUCAGUAGUUGUGGCUCAGGGGCUCUAGAGUACAGGCUCAGUAGCUGUGGUGCACGGGCUUACUUGCUCUGUGGCAUGUGGGAUCUUCCCAGACCGGGGAUCGAAUCCCUGUCCCCUGCAUUGGCAGGUGGAUUCUUAACCACUGUGCCACCAGGGAAGUCCCUGAUUUUUUAAAUAGACUGGAAAGUUAGUUAACAGUCUAUGAUGUGUUCCUGCAUAUAAGGCUAUAAUUGUGUAAACAAGAAUUUAACACAUUAUUCAUACGGGGUAGAUCUACUGUAUCAUUUAUUGGCAGUCAUUUGACUAUGUGAUGUUAAAAGUUUUUUCCAACUAAAAGCAGUAUCAGAUUAGGCAUCCAUUAUCUGUUCCCUUGGAGAAUUUAGAAGUGCUGAAUUUCUCAUUAGCACAAGAAGCAUUAUUUUGGCAAGUUCUUGAAUACCCAUGUAGUCUUUGUCCCUUGGUAUCAAUCAUAUUCUUCAUCACUAGAUUAAUACUCUUGAGAGUUAAGUUCUAAUCACAUUUCAUUUGUACAUUCCCCCAAAGUGCUUAUAUUCAUUCAUUCAGUAAACACCUUUAAUUUGCCAGGGACUGUGCAAGGUUAAGUAGUCAGGAUGAAGAUCUGCUAUUUUCCUGUCCCGUAUCUCCAGAAACUUACUAACUUGUUGAGCAUAUGGCAGGUGCUCAACAAAUAGUUUCCGAGUAAAUUUAGGUCAUGGAUAACCCCCUAACAUUUGGAAAUUAAACAAAACACUUCAAAACAACCCAUGGUCAAGGAAGAAAUCACAAAGGAUAUUAGAAAAUGUUUUGAAUUUAGGAAUAAUGAAAAUAUAUCCAAGCUCAUGUGAUUUAAUUUAAGCAGUGCCUAGUUGGAAAAUUAUAGCUGUACAUGCUUAUAUUAGAAAAGGAAAAAAGUUUACAAUCAACUAUCUCAGCUUCCAUCUCUAGAAUCCAGAAAAAGAUGAGCAAUUAACCCCCAAUAAGUACUAUGAAGGAAAUAACAAAGAAUGAAAAUCAAUAAAAUCGGAAAUGGACAAACAAUAGAGAAAGUAAACCCAAAAUGACAUAGAAAACAGAGACAAGAUAGAGAAAACCAAUAAAACCCUAGAUAAUUCAAAGGGGAGAAUAGAUAGGUUUUUAGAUAAAUGAUUCUGGAACAACUCAAUAUCAUAUGGAAAAAAAACCCCAAUAUUACCUCAAGCAUAAGAAACAACUCAAAAUGUAUUAUAGAUCUAAAUGUAAAAGUUAAAACUCUAAAACUUCUAGAAGAAAACACUGGGGAAAAAUCUUUGUGUCCUUGGGUAGGCAAAGGUUUUAUAGAUAGGACACAGAAAGCACUUACGAAAAAAAAAUAUUGAAAAAUUGGACUUCAUUUAGAACUCUGCGCUUCCAAAGACACUUUAUAAAAUGAAAAGGCUUGCCACAGAUGGAGAAAAUAUUUUGUAAUAAUAUAUCUGAUAAAAGUCUUGUUAUCCAGAACAGAUAAAUAACUCUUAGAAAUUAAUAAAAAGACAACCCAGGUUAAGAAGUGAGCAAAAGACAUAACACAGACAUUAUACAAAAGAAAAGAUAUAAAUGGCCAAUAAAUACAUGAAAACAAGCUUAAUGUCAUUAGCCAUCAGGUAAAAGUAAAUUAAGCCACAAGAUAUCACUACACACCUAUUAAAAUAGCUAAAAUUGGAAAGUUUGACAUUACCACGUGUUGACAAAGAUGUAGAAAAAUUGGAAUUCUCACACACUGUUAGUGGGAGUAUAAAUUGGUACAAGCAUUUUGGAAAACUGUGUUUCUUAAAUAUGCAUUUACUGUAUGAUUGAGCAAAUCCACUUCUAAGUAUUUGCCCUAGAGGAAUGAAACCACGUCCAUAUAAAGAUUUGUACCUGAAUGUUCAUAGCAGUUGAAUUCAUAAUAGCCUGGAGUUUGAAAAAAAAAAACAAAUUCCAUCCACAGAUGAAUCGACAAAUUAUGGUUUAUUCAAACAAUGGAAUACUACUCAUAGUAAAAGGGACAGAGUACUAUGACUUACAGCACCCUGGAUGAAUCUUAGAACCAUUACGUAGGCUGAAGGUAAGAGGCCAGAAGUGAACAUACAUACUCUAUGUAUGGAUAUAUGAAAUUCUAGAAUAGGGAAAGUUAACCUAUAUUGACAGCACAUCAGUGGUUGCCUGGGGUGAGGUAUUUUGGGUUUGGGGGGUUUUUGUUUUUGCUGGAAUACAGAGGGGCACAAGGGAGAUUUGGGGGGGGGAUGAAAAAAUUCUAUAUAUUUUGAUUUUGUUUAUAAGUUGUAUACAUUUGUCAAAACUCAUCAAACUGCAUUUUAUUCUAUGCAAAUUGUACCUAUAUAAAGUUGAUAUAAAGUUAUGAAUUAGAUGACACUCUGUUCUCUGAAACUUAUAGGGAUUGUCAUUCUUAAAGGUUAUUGGAUUUGGGGGAGGAGUAGAUUUUUGACUACCAAUUCAAUUUAUAUUAUUUGUAUUUAAUUUAUUUAGAUUUUAUAUUUUCAUUUAAAGAGAAAAUCAGUGAUGAAUCAAUAGUCUAGAAUUUCAAUUUAAGGUACUUUUCUUCACUUCUUUUUUUUAUUAUUAUUUAUUUUUUUUUUUUGCGGUACGCGGGCCUCUCACUGUUGUGACCUCUCCCGUUGUGGAGCACAGGCUCCGGACGCGCAGGCUCAGCGGCCAUGGCUCACGGGACCAGCCGCUCUGCGGCAUGUGGGAUCUUCCCGGACUGGGGCACGAACCCGUGUCCCCUGCAUCGGCAGGCAGACUUUCAACCACUGUGCCACAAGGGAAGCCCUCUUCACUUCUUAUUAAGCGUUAUGAGAUGUUUGGUUACUGAGGGAAGAGGGUUCUUGUUUCAUUCUGUUUCUUUCUCCAUUUAUUUCAAACCUUGGCUAAACUAUUCUUAAGAGUUAUCCUGAGAUCUAGGCUGGGUUACAUUCUGCUCUUCUGUGUUUCCAUAUCACUUAUAACAUUGUGCAAUUUUCAAGAGAUCUUGAUACCAUGCCAGGCAUUGCUUGUUUAGGUAGGGCAGAGGUAAAAUAUUUCUUAACUGAAGAAAUUGAUGCUUAGAUAAUUUGUGAUUCUUGAAAAAUCUCUGGAUAUAUUUAGCCACAUAUCUUGAUCCAGGUUACUUUCUCAGUUUUUUUUUUUCCCUUGGUUGUUGUUAUUUAUAUCUUUCCAUUUAGCUAGGGAUCAUAAACUCAGUUUGGAAGUCAGAAUGAGUGAGCUGGACAGGAUAUUAAGACAAUAGAGAAUGGUGGAGGCUGUGCAAAACUGGAGAACGCAUCCCUCUGACUAAGGCAUUUAAAUAGCAUAAAGAAAUUAAAACAACUUGCCUGCCAAGCAAAUAUGUCUUUAGGCCACGUUCAACUAACUGGUUGACACCAUUAUGAAUCCAUUGACUUGUGACUUAAAAUAUAUAGUACCAUUGAAAGAAGUUUCUCAAUUAAGAGGCAAGGAAUAUCCUGGGAAGCUUUUCAAACAAUACAUAUUCCCCUUACCAUCUGCCUAACUGAGGAUGACGGGUAUACUACCUUGGUAUCCGGUGCUAAAUGAUCAUAAUCGAGUUGAUGGCACCAUGUGGCUUUAGUUACUGGCCAUUGCUAACAGUUUUCUUUUUGCCAGCAGAGAAUGUUAAUUUUGCUGUGGGUUUUAGCAAAACUACAUUUGUGCACAAUUGCAUUAUUAGAGAAAUGACAAGAGAUAACCAUAUGUAGUUCUCAAAUGACCCAUAUUACAAUGUCGAGUACUUGGGCAAGAAUUCUCUUUUCUCAUGUAUUAUUCAUCUAUCCAUUUAUUCAUCCAUUCAAUAAAUAUUUAAAUGUAUGCAAAAAUGAGUUAGUGGUUUCUUUUCUCUGAAGAUACUUAAAACUUAGUGUUGGGUGGGAGAAUAUCUAGCACUGGUAUUCAAAUGGUGAAUGUCACUGAGAUGGGCUUAAUGAAGCCUCUUAGGAUCAGCUGGACUGCUAGCAAAUGCUUCAUUUCCUGUGGCUUUCUUUCCUCACAAGCUGAGCAGAGCUUCAACAGUUCUCACAACAAUUAUCACCCUCUUGUUCUGUAGGUCUCAAGUUUUUUGCAUUAGUCAGGUUGAAGGAUUCAUGGUAUUAAUCAGGACUGAAGUUGUUAUUUAUCACCUGCUGGGUGAGAAAUAAUAAUUUUGGCACUAGUGGGGCAGCAGGCCAGAGGUAUCAAAUUAAGUAAAACAUCCGAACACUAGCAAGGAUCAUUUCUCUGAUUAAUGAAUUGUUACAAAGAAAAAGUGCUACUCAUUAUCUGGUCUUACCCAUACAAAGUGGGGCAUGUAAGAAAAAAAGUACCAGCUUGCUCAGACCAAUUUUUCUGUUUAUUUCAUUCCUUCCUUUUCUUGCCCUUUCUCCAUUCUCCCUCACUUUUUUCUUUUUUUACUAUGAACAGACUUGUGUAGCCAGUCACAUUAUUUUUUGCUUUUUGCUACCAAAUAACACAAAUGGACCAAUACUUUAUAUUUUAAUAGUACAUUAGGAAAUAUUUCUGGCUAUCAAAGCAAUGAUUUUUGUGACCAUUAAGAAAUUAAACUGAGUUCAAAAGAGGUUAGGUAAAUAACCUUUUAAAUGUUGAAUUAUCUCCUCAUACAUGUAUAAAUUAAAGACUUUACUAUAAACAUCAAUGUAUUUUACUUUUUCUACUUUGAACUAAAUACCAUUUCUGAAGGGCUUAUUUUAGAAAGGGUAAAGUUUCAUUUCUGUUCGUUAGGUUUUGUUUUGUUUUGUUUUUUCACAACUCCAAAUAAGAAAAACUCAUUUUUACUCUGACUUCUAGAGUAAUCUUUACUUUUCAUUAAUGCCAUCUAAGAGCUUCCACUUCCAGUCAUUAUGGGAGUAACAGGGACUGGAUUUAUUUUCCUGCCUUAAACAGCUAAAGAAAACAGACAAAAUAGAUGAAACAAUGGUUUUCAGACGUGAAACAAUAGUCAGUUCAGGACAGUGAUCCUUGCAUGAAAGGGAAACACAGGGUGAACCUUCACUUACCCCCGCUUCUGCCUAGACAGCAACUCCACGCUGCAGCAAAGGAGAGAGGAACCCUAACAGAGCUCAGUAGAUUCCCUGAGUUGAGAAGACAAGAGUUGAGAGUUCACGAAGGCCAAGGUGGUUAGAAUUCACAAAGCAGAGUACUGGUGAUAAGCCAACUGCACAGAGAGAGAACUCUGGAGAGCUGUAGAGGGUUCCACUUCUAGUGUUCAACUGAGUGUUGAUCAUCACAAGGGUAUGAAGAAACUACCAAGACUCAGAAAAAAACUAUUGGAAAACAACAAGCAGAACAAUCUUUAGAGCUCAUGGAGGGCUGCAAAGAACUUGUGGUCCCACCAGUUCAGACUGGAAAGAUUACCUGGUAAACAUGGGGAUCAAAUGGAGUCCUCAGAAGGGCAUUGCCUCAGAAGGGGAUUAGGGCCAAAUUAGACUUAGACUGAAGACUGUUUGGACCUGCCUACUAUAGCUUCAAAGCAAGUCUCAAAAGAACGGAAUUAAUUCCAAAUAACUAACUGCAUCCCAGAACAAAACCUUAACAUAAAUAUCUCCCACACCCAAUAAUGUAAAGUUCACAACGUCUGGCCUGCAAGAAAAAAUUACCAGGCAUGCAAAGAAACAUGAGGAGAAAAAUUAGUCAGUAGAAGUAGACCCAGAAAUGACAGAGGUGACAGAAUUAGUACAUAAGGAUGUUACAACAGCUGUUAUACUCCCUAUGUACAAGAAGGUAGAUGAGAGAAUGUUAUGUAAAAUAAGUGUUAUUCUAGGUAGACAAUUGAUGUUAGAGCUUUAAAAGUGUGCUAAGGACUGAAUCAAUGCAAAUAAGCCAGGAUUAAAAUGAUUGACUUUUCAGAAGAUGCAUUUUAGUAAGUAGAGAAAGCCUUGAGAAAUUUGUCAUUUAUAUUUUCAAACAAUAGGAAAAUUAUCCUGAAUGGCAAAUUGAAAUUCUGAACUUUAUUAUAUUUAUGCUUGUGUUAAAACUAUCCUAAAAUGAUUAAAAAUAUACAAAGGAAUAAACAAAAUGUAGGUUUAUGUUCUUUUCAUUUGGUAUGCCAUCAGAGCUUUACAAUAUAUUUGAUAAUUACCACUGAUUAAUGACACAUUUCUCCUAGUGAAGUUGUUUCAAGUGGUUUUCUAAUAGGAGUCAGUGAACACCAUCUCUGUGUAAACCUAAUCAGAAAAUAAUGUGUCACAUGAAAACUUGAUUUCCAGAAGAGGCCAAGAAAAAGGUUACUUUAUUUUAAACUCCUCAUUUAAUGAUGAUUAAUAAUAUAGUAUUUAAAAUAAAAUUUAAAAGAAUAUAUCAAAUUAGAUUGAAAGUAUCUAAAAGAGGGUAGUCAGGAUAUCUGUAUAUGGAAUCCUAUUAUAAUGCCAGAAUGGAAAUUCCAAGACUAAAAACCAUCUACUAACAAAACUCAAUCAAAAUGAAUUCAAUUCAAUUAAACAUAUUUGUUGAACAUUUUAAUAUUGCAUUUGUUAGGUUCUGAAGGAGGUACAAAGAUAGACAUAGUGCCUGCUGUCAAAAAGGUUAUAAUCUAUAUGGGUAGAUGAGACAAAGAUGUGUGAAAAGUUAAAUGAGAGUACAAAAAAGCAACAAUUUAAGAAGGGACAUGGUAAUACAUAGUUAAGUAUUCAAGAAAUGACACUGAGUUUAAACAUGUGAAAAAUUAUAAACAUUUAAUAGAAUGAUUGUGGAAAGAUUCAUGGAGAAGGUCAACUAAAUUACAUUUUUAAAUGUAGGUAGGUAGAUUUUGAAUAGGGGAAAACUUUUGUUAGAAGGUCACAGUAUGAGUAAAAAGGGCCCAGCAAGUUCAUGGACAGUAGGUAAAUCAAUGUGGUUGGAUCAGAAGGUUUCUCUAGGAUAGCCAUGAAAGAUGAAGUUAUAAAUGUAAAUUUGUACUAGAUUACAAAAUACUUUGAGUGCACUUAAGAAAUUUUGACAUUUAGGCAAUGUGCAGUCAUCCUACACAGAAUGGUAUAAUGGAAAUUGCUCCAGGCUUGGAGUCAAAAAGACUUGAGUUGGACGCUUGGCUGCAGUUGGUAGCUUUGUACAUGGUUUCAGUCAAGUCACUCCCCUUCCAAGUUUUAGCUUCCUGGUCUACAAAACAGAAAUGUGAAUACCCGUUCCGCCAACCUCACAGGCUUGUUGUGACGAUCAAACAAAUUAAUUAAUGUGAAAGUGCUUUGUGGAUUAUGAAGCAUUCCACAAAUCCAAAGUGUUAUUGUAAUUGGAGAGAAAAAUAAGAUAUGAUUAAAUUGGCUGUUGAGCCAGCUUGAUCAGGAAGUGAGGUGUUGGAUGCUUCCUGUAGCUAGGAGGCAAAAAUGAAAGGCCGUUUCAUUAAUUUAAAUUGAGGUAAGAGACCUGGAUUAGGAAGGUCACCAAGUAAAAGGAAAUAGAGGGCAGAUCUGAGAAAAGUGUGGAAGGAAAAGCUUACAGGGCUGAUAGCUAAUCAGAUGUGGAGAAAGAAAAAGUAGCGUCAGCGGACUUCCCUGGUGGUGCAGUGGUUGAGAGUCCGUCUGCCGAUGCAGGCGACAUCGGUUCGUGCCCCGGUCCGGGAAGAUCCCACGUGCCGUGGAGCGGCUAGGCCCGUGAGCCAUGGCCGCUGAGCCUGUGUGUCCGGAGCCUGUG